rfam:Erinaceus europaeus unplaced genomic scaffold scaffold00002, whole genome shotgun sequence
CUGCUCCCUUCUGCAGCACAUAUGCUAAAAUUGGAAUAAUACAGAGAAGAUUAGCAUGACCCAGGCACAAGAAGCUGAAACUUCCAAAAGUCUUGGAUUUUU